rnacentral:rRNA from 1 species
UACGUAGGGAGCUAGCGUUGUUCGGAAUUACUGGGCGUAAAGCGCGCGUAGGCGGCUUUGUAAGUUAGAGGUGAAAGCCCGGGGCUCAACCCCGGAAUUGCCUUUAAGACUGCAUCGCUUGAAUCCGGGAGAGGUGAGUGGAAUUCCGAGUGUAGAGGUGAAAUUCGUAGAUAUUCGGAAGAACACCAGUGGCGAAGGCGGCGCACUGGACCGGCAUUGACGCUGAGGUGCGAAAGCGUGGGGAGCAAACAGG